CGUAGUUAGCAGGCUCUUAUUCGUGAAGUACCGUCAUAAUCUUCCUUCACAAAAGCAGUUUACAACCCGAAGGCAUUCUUCCUGCACGCGGCAUUGCUCCGUCAGGCUUUCGCCCAUUGCGGAAAAUUCCUCA
rnacentral:rRNA from 1 species